AGAGAGAGACAUGCGCGCAUAUCAAUAAGCGGAGGAAAAGAAACUAACUAAGGAUUCCCUCAGUAACGGCGAGUGAAGCGGGAAGAGCUCAAAUUCGAAAUCUUCAAGGGUUCUACCUUUACGAAUUGUAGUUUAAAGAAGUGUUUUCUGUUGGAGUUUUGGUAAAAGUUCUUUGGAAUAGGACAUCAUAGAGGGUGAGAAUCCCGUAUUUGACCAGUUACUUUCCAGCUGUGUGAUACACUUUCAAAGAGUCGGAUUGUUUGGGAAUGCAGUCCAAAAUGGGUGGUAAAUUUCAUCUAAAGCUAAAUACUGGCGAGAGACCGAUAGCGAACAAGUACCGUGAGGGAAAGAUGAAAAGAACUUUGAAAAGAGAGUUAAACAGUACGUGAAAUUGUCAAAAGGGAAGCGUUUGACACCAGUGUUGUUUUCUCGAAAAUCAAUUAAAAAUGGUGGGAUUUUGUGUUGUAUUGACUUUAUCAGCUUUCUGCACUUUUUUCCUGUCUUUUUUAAUGCACUUUUCGUUUAACAAGUCAACAUCAAUUUCUUUUGUUGUAAAAGAGUCAUUGGAAGGUGGCUUUCUUUUCGGAGAAAGUGUUUAUAGCCUUUGACUUCUGCAAUCGGAGAGAUUGAGGUCUGCAGCGUAGAUCCUUCGGGGUUAGAUGCAUUUGUGCUAAGCUAUAGCCUUUCAUAGACAACUUGUUGACUAUGAUCAGUCAUGUAGCUUACUCGCUUAUGUCAUUUUACCUACGCUUAGGAUGUUGACAGCAGUAUAGACUGU
rnacentral:rRNA from 1 species